UUUUUUUUUAAUAAGGAAAAUCUCAAAGCAUAACUGGAGAAGGAAAAUGGGAAAAUAGUUCACUUUAAUUCAAACAGUAGCCCACAACAGGUGUUUUCUCUGCCGUUCCCUUCUGGUAACCAAUUCCAAACAAUUUCUCCUCAAUUUUUUUUUAAUCUUUUUAAAAUUUAUCAGCUCGGAAAGUGCCUGGAGACUUAAUUGAAGAUCUUCUCUGCGGAAAUCCUAAUCGGUACUGCUACCACGUUGGGAUUUCUACUUGCUUCCUCAUCUUCUGUGUAACAGUGGAAGAUGAGGAUGAGAUGACAUGGGGACUAUCUUGGAAUGACAACUUUGACUAAAAAUCUCUUCACACAGCUUUGUGGAAGAAUCUUGUAUUGAGAGACGAGGGAUUUCCUUCAGGAUCUAUUCGGAAGAUCAAAGCCCUUUCUUUACACUGUCUUCUGUCAUUCUUUUCUUUUUGUAUGGGAGUUGGCUUGCAUACGAUUCUGACUGUUAGUAAUCCUACAGAAAACGGAAAAGGUGGUGGUGAAGUGGUACAAUUUCUCUGAGGGUGCAUCUGAAUCUCUCAAUCCCUUGUUGUUUCACUGUUGCCGCUGUUUGGAAAUUGGAGCACUUCAGGCUUUGGGGAUGUUGAGUUGAAUGCUUGGCUUGGUGGAGGUGUCUGUAGGAGGAAAAUGGAAGUUAUGAACUUGUAGUCCACAAGCUAUAAUUUUGUUACUAAGGAAUGCGACAAAACUGGGUGUGCAAUGGAAAAGAGUCUUCGCCUUCUUAUAGAUAAUUCAGUCACAAAUUUAAAUUCUGGCACACGGGGAAACUCUUUGCAAGUGUAAUUUAUGCUACAGAGUUUAUUAACUAAUUAUUUUUUAUCUAAGUUUUGUUCUCUGUAAAUGGGAUGGCACUCCCUUGAUAGCUUUAGAAUAGGCUUCUUUUUCAACAGAAGAAAAGAGAAGAAAGGUAGAUCCGAGUAACGAUAUGGAACAUUAUAGUAUAUAAAAUUAGGAACAAGUUUAAUGUACACAGUAGUUUACCAAAACUGAGACCUGGGAGCUUAUGAUUAAUCUCUGCAAUGUUGAU